rnacentral:rRNA from 1 species
GACGGAGGAUGCAAGUGUUAUCCGGAAUCACUGGGCGUAAAGCGUCUGUAGGUGGUUUAACAAGUCCACUGUUAAAAAUUGAAGCUUAACUUCAAAGAUGCCGUGGAAACUUUUAAACUUGAGGAUGAUAGGGGUAGAGGGAAUUUCCAGUGGAGCGGUGAAAUGCGUAGAUAUUGGAAAGACCACCAAUGGCGAAGGCACUCUACUGGGCCAUUACUGACACUGAGAGACGAAAGCUAGGGGAGCGGAUGGG